GCCAUAGCUCAGUGAUAAAACAACUGUUUUAUAAGCAGGUGGUCUCAAAUUCAAUCCUUGACAUCUCCA